UACUAAUUUUAAGGAUAACUUUACAAGUCAAGAAAGUUCCAGUUUGUGGUAAAACUGUUGAAGUAUCAGACUGUGAAAAUACAUAAAUCUAAAGACUACACACCAGGAAGUUAUGGAGGAGAUUUCAUAGUAA